rnacentral:rRNA from 1 species
AUUGAACGCUGGCGGCAGGCCUAACACAUGCAAGUCGAGCGGAAACGAGUUAUCUGAACCUUUCGGGGAACGAUAACGGCGUCGAGCGGCGGACGGGUGAGUAAUGCCUAGGAAAUUGCCCUGAUGUGGGGGAUAACCAUUGGAAACGAUGGCUAAUACCGCAUGAUGCCUACGGGCCAAAGAGGGGGACCUUCGGGCCUCUCGCGUCAGGAUAUGCCUAGGUGGGAUUAGCUAGUUGGUGAGGUAAGGGCUCACCAAGGCAACGAUCCCUAGCUGGUCUGAGAGGAUGAUCAGCCACACUGGAACUGAGACACGGUCCAGACUCCUACGGGAGGCAGCAGUGGGGAAUAUUGCACAAUGGGCGCAAGCCUGAUGCAGCCAUGCCGCGUGUAUGAAGAAGGCCUUCGGGUUGUAAAGUACUUUCAGUCGUGAGGAAGGCGUUGUCGUUAAUAGCGGCAUCGUUUGACGUUAGCGACAGAAGAAGCACCGGCUAACUCCGUGCCAGCAGCCGCGGUAAUACGGAGGGUGCGAGCGUUAAUCGGAAUUACUGGGCGUAAAGCGCAUGUAGGUGGUUUGUUAAGUCAGAUGUGAAAGCCCGGGGCUCAACCUCGGAAUAGCAUUUGAAACUGGCAGACUAGAGUACUGUAGAGGGGGGUAGAAUUUCAGGUGUAGCGGUGAAAUGCGUAGAGAUCUGAAGGAAUACCGGUGGCGAAGGCGGCCCCCUGGACAGAUACUGACACUCAGAUGCGAAAGCGUGGGGAGCAAACAGG